rnacentral:rRNA from 1 species
UGGGGAAUAUUGGACAAUGGGCGCAAGCCUGAUCCAGCAAUGCCGCGUGUGUGAAGAAGGCCUUCGGGUUGUAAAGCACUUUUAUCAGGAGCGAAACGCUGUCGGCUAAUACCCGGCGGAACUGACGGUACCUGAGGAAUAAGCACCGGCUAACUUCGUGCCAGCAGCCGCGGUAAUACGAAGGGUGCAAGCGUUAAUCGGAAUUACUGGGCGUAAAGCGUGCGUAGGCGGUUUCUUAAGUCUGCUGUGAAAUCCCCGGGCUCAACCUGGGAAUGGCAGUGGAUACUGGGAGGCUAGAGUGUGUCAGAGGGUGGUGGAAUUCCCGGUGUAGCGGUGAAAUGCGUAGAGAUCGGGAGGAACAUCAGUGGCGAAGGCGGCCACCUGGGACAACACUGACGCUGAGGCACGAAAGCGUGGGGAGCAAACAGGAUUAGAUACCCUGGUAGUCCACGCCCUAAACGAUGCGAACUGGAUGUUGGUCUCAACUCGGAGAUCAGUGUCGAAGCUAACGCGUUAAGUUCGCCGCCUGGGGGAGUACGGUCGCAAGACUGAAACUUAAAGG